AGUGAACGCUGGCGGUAGGCCUAACACAUGCAAGUCGAACGGCAGCACAGUAAGAGCUUGCUCUUACGGGUGGCGAGUGGCGGACGGGUGAGGAAUACAUCGGAAUCUACUUUUUCGUGGGGGAUAACGUAGGGUAACUUACGCUAAUACCGCAUACGACCUACGGGUGAAAGCAGGGGAUCUUCGGACCUUGCGCGAUUGAAUGAGCCGAUGUCGGAUUAGCUAGUUGGUGGGGUAAAGGCCCACCAAGGCGACGAUCCGUAGCUGGUCUGAGAGGAUGAUCAGCCACACUGGAACUGAGACACGGUCCAGACUCCUACGGGAGGCAGCAGUGGGGAAUAUUGGACAAUGGGCGCAAGCCUGAUCCAGCCAUACCGCGUGGGUGAAGAAGGCCUUCGGGUUGUAAAGCCCUUUUGUUGGGAAAGAAAAGCAGCAGGUUAAUACCCCGCUGUUCUGACGGUACCCAAAGAAUAAGCACCGGCUAACUUCGUG
rnacentral:rRNA from 1 species